rnacentral:lncRNA from 1 species
UCGUCCGCCUCAUCUCACCCAUCCGUCCAUCUUUCCACCCUCAUCUCAUCCGUCCUUCACCUAGUCCACCCUCCAGGGCCUGACGCCUGGGGGAAACGCUCCUGAGCGAGGCGGCCCGAACCAUGCUCGCUCACCACCUCCACACCACCAGCUGCGACCCCAGGCGAGUGCGGGAAGAACCGACGGGCGGCUCGCAGCGGGGGAGGCGGGGGCAGAGGCCGCCGGGGGACGGGGUGCAUCCCCCUCCUCCACUUCCCCUUCCAAGGGGAGGGGCACCACGCGCCCACGCAGCACACAGCCCGGCGCUGGACGCCAAAACCCGGCCCGGCCCGGCGUGACCCUCCCCCAACUCGGAGGGGGGAGGCACAGGCCGCAUUAGGCAAAAGAGCAGUGCUUGGCCCCCACCAUGGGGGGGCCAGCGCACACCUCGCACAAGGGCGGCUCUUGCCCACACACUGUGGCAAGUAGGCAGCUACUGCCUGCAGACUUCAGAGGAGUAGCUGAAGUCCAGGUACCCCAAGGCCCCCCUCUGAGAGCGCUAGAGAAGACUUUCUCACCGAGGGCGCGUAGUGCCCCACACACCAUCGCUCGCCCCUUCGGGGACCCACGGGAGUGGGAACACUCCCAAAAAGUGGGAAGUCAGAAGGGGGGGGGGUCUGCGGUAUGGGUAAAGCACACAGCCCAUGUGAGCGUCCACGGUCAGAGCCGGGAGGGCAAGAGUCUGUGCUGCCACCAGGCUUGCCUUUCAGACUUUUCCACGUGGGUGGAGGGAUGCCACGUCCGGAAAGCCAGACGGGGACCCCCUCCCCUGAGCUUUAGGAAGCUGCUCGUGGGGCACGCCACCACCACAGUGGGGACCCGAGGGGACUCACCGCUGGGAGAGGAAAACGACACCACCGCUCGGCCUCGGGCAUCUGACAGGCAACCCGGAGUACUCCAGGGGCACCACAGAGGACCAGGGGAGGCACGCUCACGCACCCGCAGGGAUGCGAAGCAUGGCAGCGAGGGAGGCCUCCCCCCCACUUUGGGGAGGGACCGCUCGCAAGGCACACGCCAAGGCGGCAAAGCGAGAAUGCCUGCUGCGUCCCAAAGGACCCAGGCCCCCCCCCUGACUGACACCAGAAGGCAGCAGGGCGGGAGACCAGAGGUCAGGCCAGAGGCCGCACCCCUAUCUUCCCCCACAACACCCGCAGGUGGGGGAGGAGCAGCGAGGGGCCCGCGGACAGAAUGAGAGGUGCGGCCUAGCUCACCGUGAGAGGCUGUCCCUCAUCUGGCGUGGCUUAGGCCCAAGCCCAGGAGAGCGCCACAUCACCACAUUGAUGUAAACCUUUUUUUUUAAUCAUUUCAUAAUUAUGUUGGUUGACUUGUCUGUGAUUCUGAUCUUACAAGGAGAUGAAACUCUUUGUAGCAGUGGGUGAGC